GAAGAGCAGUGAAGCAGCUAGGGUUCUUGGAAGGGAGGCCUUGAGCGUGAAAAGAAAAAAAACAGAGUGAAGGAAGAGUGGCGGCUGACAGGAAGAUCAGGAGAGAAAGACGCGGCAACGGACAGAGGAGGAAGAACAAGGUCACCACCAGUCCGCGUCCGCUCUGCUGCUGUCUGCCAUCGCCAACACCGCGCACAACCUCCUGGGCUGCUGCCGUUCUCUGUAACACUAGAUGAAGGCUCUCGGAGGAAGUCAGACCUAGUCAUCUUCCAAUUCCAACUCACCGUCUUCAGCUUCGUCAUAAUCGCCGUCGCCACCGCUCAACAGGUUGAUACUGAACACCUGGAAAAUCAUGAGGCUGCUACCUUUUAUAUCCGUGACAAUGCGGAUUGUAUCCUGGGUACAUGAUUUUCUUUGUUCAGUCUGCUUUGUUUAUUGCUGGUUCAAGAGGUUCUAACACGAUUCCCAAGAAGAAGAAGCCAGUCAUUGCUGUGAAGAUGGUUUUUGAAUUGAAGACUACAAGGCCUAUCGUGCUCAUGUUUUGUUCUAGAUGAGAAUCGUGCUCAUAUUUUUGUAUAGAACUUUACUACUCUCUAUUGUGGAUGGGAAAUCACUAGUAUUGUAACUGAAUGGCUUAUUUUGGAUGGUGCAUGGUUUAUGACUCAUUUGAGGCAACAUUUAUAUAUAUAUGUAUUUGGGUUGAUCUUCUA